rnacentral:rRNA from 1 species
AUUGAACGCUGGCGGCAGGCUUAACACAUGCAAGUCGAGCGGUAGCACAGGGGAGCUUGCUCCCUGGGUGACGAGCGGCGGACGGGUGAGUAAUGUCUGGGAAACUGCCUGAUGGAGGGGGAUAACUACUGGAAACGGUAGCUAAUACCGCAUAACGUCGCAAGACCAAAGAGGGGGACCUUCGGGCCUCUUGCCAUCAGAUGUGCCCAGAUGGGAUUAGCUAGUAGGUGGGGUAAUGGCUCGCCUAGGCGACGAUCCCUAGCUGGUCUGAGAGGAUGACCAGCCACACUGGAACUGAGACACGGUCCAGACUCCUACGGGAGGCAGCAGUGGGGAAUAUUGCACAAUGGGCGCAAGCCUGAUGCAGCCAUGCCGCGUGUGUGAAGAAGGCCUUCGGGUUGUAAAGCACUUUCAGCGAGGAGGAAGGUGGUGAGCUUAAUACGCUCAUCAAUUGACGUUACUCGCAGAAGAAGCACCGGCUAACUCCGUG